CAGUCGAACGGCAGCACAGUGUGUAGCAAUACACAUGGGUGGCGAGUGGCGGACGGGUGCGUAACGCGUAGGAAUCUGCCUUGAAGCGGGGGACAACCCGAGGAAACUCGGGCUAAUACCGCAUAAUCUCGAGAGAGCAAAGCUGGGUGGUAACACCUGGCACUUCAAGAGGAGCCUGCGUCCGAUUAGCUAGUUGGUGGGGUAAAAGCCUACCAAGGCGAUGAUCGGUAGCUGGUCUGAGAGGAUGAUCAGCCACACUGGGACUGAGACACGGCCCAGACUCCUACGGGAGGCAGCAGUGGGGAAUAUUGGACAAUGGGGGCAACCCUGAUCCAGCAAUGCCGCGUGUGUGAAGAAGGCCUUAGGGUUGUAAAGCACUUUAGGCUGGGAGGAAGACGUGUAGUUUAAGAGAUAAUACGUUUGACUGUACCGGCAGAAUAAGCA
rnacentral:rRNA from 1 species